rnacentral:rRNA from 1 species
AGAGUUUGAUUAUGGCUCAGGGUGAACGCUAGCGGCAGGCCUAAUACAUGCAAGUCGAACGGUAAACGGUCCUUCGGGGCCGUGAGAGUGGCGGACGGGUGCGUAACGCGUAUGCAACCAACCCCCGACGGGCGGAUAGCCGGUGGAAACGCCGGGUAAUGCGCCAUGCGCACUUUGGGGGGCAUCCCCUUGGGUGCAAAGCGGCGACGCGGUCGGGGACGGGCAUGCGUCCCAUUAGCUGGUUGGCGGGGCAACGGCCCACCAAGGCUACGAUGGGUAGGGGAUCUGAGAGGACGGUCCCCCACACUGGUACUGAGACACGGACCAGACUCCUGCGGGAGGCAGCAGUAAGGGAUAUUGGGCAAUGGGGGGAACCCUGACCCAGCCAUGCCGCCGUGAGGUAGGAAGGCCCUACGGGUCGUAAGCCUCUUUUGUCCAGGGACAAGGACGCGCACGCGAUGCACGUUUGAGGGUACUGGAAGAAUAAGCGUCGGCUAACUCCGUGCCAGCCGCCGC